rnacentral:rRNA from 1 species
UACGGGAGGCAGCAGUGGGGAAUUUUAGACAAUGGGGGCAAGCCUGAUCUAGCCAUGCCGCGUGAGUGAUGAAGGCCCUAGGGUCGUAAAGCUCUUCAUCAGUGAAGAUAAUGACAUAUCA